rnacentral:rRNA from 1 species
GCUUAACACAUGCAAGUCGAACGAAGCCGUGCCGACGGAUCCCUUCGGGGUGAAGAUGGCGCAUGCUUAGUGGCGGACGGGUGAGUAACGCGUGAGCAACCUGCCCUAAAGUGGGGGACAACAGUUGGAAACGACCGCUAAUACCGCAUAAGACCACGGUUCCACAUGGAGCUGAGGUAAAAGGAUUUAUUCGCUUUAGGAUGGGCUCGCGUCCCAUUAGAUUGUUGGUGAGGUAACGGCUCACCAAGUCGACGAUGGGUAGCCGACCUGAGAGGGUGAUCGGCCACACUGGAACUGAGACACGGUCCAGACUCCUACGGGAGGCAGCAGUGGGGAAUAUUGGGCAAUGGGCGAAAGCCUGACCCAGCAACGCCGCGUGAAGGAAGAAGGCCUUCGGGUUGUAAACUUCUGUCCUUGGGGACGAAAAAAAUGACGGUACCCGAGGAGGAAGCUCCGGCUAACUACGUGCCAGCAGCCGCGGUAAUACGUAGGGAGCAAGCGUUGUCCGGAAUUACUGGGCGUAAAGGGUGCGUAGGUGGGUUCAUGUGUCAGAUGUGAAAUCCCGGGGCUUAACUCCGGUGUUGCAUUUGAAACUGUGGACCUUGAGUACAGGAGAGGCAAGUGGAAUUCCUAGUGUAGCGGUGAAAUGCGUAGAUAUUAGGAGGAACACCAGUGGCGAAGGCGGCUUGCUGGACUGUAACUGACACUGAGGCACGAAAGCGUGGGGAGCAAACAGGAUUAGAUACCCUGGUAGUCCACGCCGUAAACGAUGGAUACUAGGUGUGGGGAUCGAUAGGUCUCCGUGCCGCAGCUAACGCAUUAAGUAUCCCGCCUGGGGAGUACGAUCGCAAGGUUGAAACUCAAAGGAAUUGACGGGGGCCCGCACAAGCGGAGGAACAUGUGGUUUAAUUCGAUGAUACGCGAGGAACCUUACCCGGGCUAGAACGCAGGGAGACCGAUGGGGAAACUCAUUUUUCAGCAAUGACUGCCUACGAGGUGCUGCACGGUUGUCGUCAGCUCGUGCCGUGAGGUGUCGGCUUAAGUGCCAUAACGAGCGCAACCCUUAUUGUUAGUUGCCAGCGGGUGAUGCCGGGGACUCUAGCAAAACUGCCAGCGUAAGCUGUGAGGAAGGUGGGGAUGACGUCAAAUCAGCACGGCCCUUACGUCCGGGGCGACACACGUGUUACAAUGGGGGGUACAGAGGGAUGCUACCGCGCGAGCGGAUGCAAAUCUUCAAAGCCUCUCUCAGUUCGGAUCGGAGUCUGCAACUCGACUCCGUGAAGCUGGAUUCGCUAGUAAUCGCGCAUCAGCCAUGGCGCGGUGAAUACGUUCCCGGGCCUUGUACACACCGCCCGUCAAGCCAUGGGAGUUGGGGGUGCCUGAAGUACGUGACCGCAAGGAGCGUCCUAGGGCAAAACCGAUGACUGGGGCU